GAUGAACGCUGGCGGAAUGCUUUACACAUGCAAGUCGAACGGCAGCACGGACUUCGGUCUGGUGGCGAGUGGCGAACGGGUGAGUAAUGUAUUGGAACGUGCCCAGUCGUGGGGGAUAACGUAGUGAAAAUUACGCUAAUACCGCAUACGAUCUAUGGAUGAAAGCGGGGGAUCGCAAGACCUCGCGCGAUUGGAGCGGCCGAUAUCAGAUUAGGUAGUUGGUGGGGUAAAGGCCCACCAAGCCAACGAUCUGUAGCCGGUCUGAGAGGACGACCAGCCACACUGGAACUGAGACACGGUCCAGACUCCUACGGGAGGCAGCAGUGGGGAAUUUUGGACAAUGGGCGAAAGCCUGAUCCAGCCAUUCCGCGUGCAGGAUGAAGGCCCUCGGGUUGUAAACUGCUUUUGUACAGAACGAAAAGGUUUCUACUAAUACUAGGAGCUCAUGACGGUACUGUAAGAAUAAGCACCGGCUAACUACGUGCCAGCAGCCGCGGUAA
rnacentral:rRNA from 1 species